UACAGAGGAGCCAAGCGUUGUCCGGAUUGACUGGGCGUAAAGCGCACGCAGGCGGACGCGCGCGUGGGGUGUGAAAUCUGGCCGCUUAACGGCCAGGGGCCAUCCCAUACGGCGCGUCUGGAGCGCUGCAGAGGUCGGUGGAAUUGCCGGUGUAGUGGUGAAAUGCGCAGAUAUCAGGAGGAACACCGGUGGCGAAGGCGGAUCUCUGGGCCAUUACUGACGCUGAGGAGCGAAAGCGUGGGGAGCGAACAGG
rnacentral:rRNA from 1 species